CCUACGGGGCGCUGCAGUGAGGAAUAUUGGUCAAUGGUCGGGAGACUGAACCAGCCAAGCCGCGUGAGGGAGGAAGGUACAGAGUAUCGUAAACCUCUUUUGUCAGGGAACAAAGGCGGGGACGUGUCCCCGGAUGAGUGUACCUGAAGAAAAAGCAUCGGCUAACUCCGUGCCAGCAGCCGCGGUAAUACGGAGGAUGCGAGCGUUCACCGGAUUUAUGGGGUUUAAGGGGUGCGAAGGCGGUCUGUUAAGUCGGCGGUCAAAGCCCGGGGCUCAACCCCGGCCCGCCGUUGAAACUGGCAGUCUCGAGUUGGAGAGAAGUAUGCGGAAUGCGCGGUGUAGCGGUGAAAUGCAUAGAUAUCGCGCAGAACUCCGAUUGCGAAGGCAGCAUGCCGGCUCCACACUGACGCUGAGGCACGAAAGCGUGGGUAUCGAACAGGAUUAGAUACCCGGGUAGUC
rnacentral:rRNA from 1 species